rnacentral:rRNA from 1 species
UACAGAGGUGGCAAGCGUUGUUCGGAAUUACUGGGCGUAAAGGGCGCGUAGGCGGUUCGUUAAGUCCUGUGUGAAAUCCCCGGGCUCAACCCGGGAACUGCGUCCGAUACUGGAAGGCUUGAAUCCGGGAGAGGGAUGCGGAAUUCCAGGUGUAGCGGUGAAAUGCGUAGAUAUCUGGAGGAACACCGGUGGCGAAGGCGGCAUCCUGGACCGGCAUUGACGCUGAGGCGCGAAAGCCAGGGGAGCAAACGGG